CCCCUGCCCUCCGCCUAGACUCAACACUAACCCCUGCUCUCCACCUAGACCCGACACUAUCCCCUGCCCUCCACCUAGACCCAACACUAACCCCUGCCCUCCGCCUGGACCCAACACUAACCCCUGCCCUCCGCCUGGACCCAACACUAACCCCUGCCCUCCGCCUAGACCCAACACUAACCCCUGCCCUCCACCUAGACCCAACACUAACCCCUGCCCUCCGCCUGGACCCAACACUAACCCCUGUCCUUACUCCAGUUAUACCCAGACCUGUGGAUUAAUCCUUCAGAGAAAGUAUAUCUUGACAUGACCAGAUCAAUAAACAUGUCUGAAGAUGGACAUUCAUCUGUCUUUUAUUUUCCUUAAUAUUUUUUUGUAAAUCUGACACAUUUAUAUAUCAGAUUAUAUGUGAACUCAUGAUGUCGAGGUCAGCGUGACCCCAGGUCCCGUGUCAGGUAGUGGUCAGUUUAACCCCAGGUCCCUUGUCAGGUAGAGGUCAGUGUGACCCCAGGUCCCUUGUCAGGUAGAGGUCAGUUUAACCCCAGGUCCCUUGUCAGGUAGAGGUCAGUUUAACCCCAGGUCCCGUGUCAGGUAGAGUUCAGUGUGAACCCAGGUCUUAUUUGAUUUACAGAUCUGGUUGACCCCAGGUCCUGUAUAAGUUAGAGAUCCUGUUGACCCCAGGUCCUGUAUAAGUUAGAGAUCCGGUUGACCCCAGGUCCUGUAUAAGUUAGAGAUCUGGUUGACCCCAGGUCCUGUAUAAGUUAGAGAUCUGGUUGACCCCAGGUCCUGUAUAAAUUAGAGAUCCGGUUGACCCCAGGUCCUGUAUAAGUUAGAGAUCCGGUUGACCCCAGGUCCUGUAUAAGUUAGAGAUCUGGUUGACCCCAGGUCCUGUAUAAGUUAGAGAUCUGGUUGACCCCAGGUCCUGUAUAAGUUAGAGAUCCGGUUGACCCCAGGUCCUGUAUAAGUUAGAGAUCUGGUUGACCCCAGGUCCUGGUUGAAGAAGAAAUGAUGGGCUGAUGGUUAGUCCACUGGAUGAUGAAAUAUUGUAGAACAGCUGCUUCUGUUAGUUGCUGGCUCACUCCGUCCCAUAUCACAUUCAGGCCACGACUUCCUCUAAACAUACAGACAGAAACAGGAAGUUGGUUUACAAAAGUAUCAUGACCUUUGUAUGGCAAGGAGAUACACUUCCACUACAGCACAGCUACUUCCACUAUCAGAAAAUGUGAAGUAGACCAAAGCAAAGCACGGCACUUUCUGUCUUAUCAAGAUUAGAGAUGGAAAAUGAGGGUCGUAGUUAACACUGGUAUUGGCUGGAAUAUUCAACAAGAUAUGCUGAUAAAGUUACCUGUGUGUGUGUGUGUGUGUGUGUGUGUGUG
ensembl:lncRNA